AGGGAUCAUUACUGAGUGAGGGCUCACGCCCGACCUCCAACCCUUUGUGAACACAUCUUGUUGCUUCGGGGGCGACCCUGCCGGCCCUGCGUCGCCGGGCGCCCCCGAAGGUCUCCAAACACUGCAUCUUUGCGUCGGAGUUUAAAACAAAUUAAACAAAACUUUCAACAACGGAUCUCUUGGUUCUGGCAUCGAUGAAGAACGCAGCGAAAUGCGAUAAGUAAUGUGAAUUGCAGAAUUCAGUGAAUCAUCGAAUCUUUGAACGCACAUUGCGCCCUUUGGUAUUCCGAAGGGCAUGCCUGUUCGAGCGUCAUUUCACCACUCAAGCCUGGCUUGGUAUUGGGCGUCGCGGCUCCGCGCGCCUUAAAGUCUCCGGCUGAGCCAUUCGUCUCUAAGCGUUGUGGAUUUUUCAAUUCGCUUCGGAGUGCGGGUGGCCGCGGCCGUUAAAUCUUUAUUCAAAGGUUGACCUCGGAUCAGGUAGGGAUA
rnacentral:rRNA from 1 species